rnacentral:rRNA from 1 species
GACGAACGCUGGCGGCGUGCUUAACACAUGCAAGUCGAGCGGUAAGGCCCUUUCGGGGGUACACGAGCGGCGAACGGGUGAGUAACACGUGGGUGACCUGCCCUCAGCUCUGGGAUAAGCCUGGGAAACUGGGUCUAAUACUGGAUAUGACUCCACGGUGCAUGUCGUGGGGUGGAAAGCCUUGUGCGGCUGAGGAUGGGCCCGCGGCCUAUCAGCUUGUUGGUGGGGNGAUGGCCUACCAAGGCGACGACGGGUAGCCGGCC